rnacentral:rRNA from 1 species
AGACGUUUUGUAGUCCUGGCUCAGGAUGAACGCUGGCGGCGUGCUAACACAUGCAAGUCGAAGGACUUAAUUUGAAACCUAGUGAUAAUUAAGUGAGUGGCGGACGGGUGAGUAACGCUGGAUAACCUGCCGUAUGCAGGGGGAUACCAACUGGAAACAGUUGCUAAUACCGCAUAAGCGCACGGUGUCGCAUGACACAGUGUGAAAAGGUUUAACGGCAUACGAUGGAUCCGCGUCCGAUUAGCCAGUUGGCGGGGUAACGGCCCACCAAAGCGACGAUCGGUAGCCGGCCUGAGAGGGCGGACGGCCACAUUGGGACUGAGACACGGCCCAAACUCCUACGGGAGGCAGCAGUGGGGAAUAUCGCACAAUGGGGGAAACCCUGAUGCAGCGACGCCGCGUGAGUGAAGAAGUAUUUCGGUAUGUAAAGCUCUAUCAGCAGGGAAGAAAGGUGCCCCUUGGGCGCCUGGACGGUACCUGACUAAGAAGCCCCGGCUAACUACGUG